CCCGAAAGCAUAGUUCAGCUAUUUUGACGUUAAAUUUGAAAUUCACAUUUAAUUAUUUUUUAGUCUAAAAUUUCAGUUCCUUUCUCAGUUCUUCAUGAUUCCUGGUGCAGUGAAUAACCCAGUGCCUUUGCAAGCGUUAUGCAUUACUCACCUCUAUAAUGUAAAAUAAAAGAACAGCGGGGAUAACAUCAUUUUAAUUACAUGUUGCUUUGUAAUAUUGAGUAUUAAAAAAACGAUCAGAGCUCUUUG